rnacentral:sRNA from 1 species
GCUAUUCUCUUUCAUUCAAUUUUGUGCUUUUGGAAAUCAAAUUGGAUAUUUUUUUAUUUGGAAAUCGUUUUCCAUAUUCGUAAUAAGCCGGAUUUGCUAAACACGUGCUAUAUUGAAUUCUACGUGCAAAUGACGGUAAGAUGUGUACAUUGUGGUGCAGCCGAAUUUCCAAAUGAAACAGAUGGCAUGUGCUGUGCUAACGUCAAAGUGAAAUUGCCAACAA